UCUCUGGAGGAUGAAAGGUAGGUGCAUAUGACUGCUCAGAAUGUGCAAUAAUAUAACAGUGAUCAACGAACUACUUUCAGUCCAAAUUUUCACUGGCAUAUACAGCAAACAAAUGGGAGCAUAGGUAAUGCAGUAACUGCCAUUUCCUACAUGUGCAUGUGCAUAUCCCUAAGUCAACUGUCUAUAUAUAAUCAGGCUCAUC
rnacentral:lncRNA from 1 species